rnacentral:rRNA from 1 species
CAGCCGCCGCGGGAAUACGGAGGGGGCUAGCGUUGUUCGGAAUUACUGGGCGUAAAGCGUACGUAGGCGGCUUGGUAAGUUAGAGGUGAAAGCCCGGAGCUCAACUCCGGAAUUGCCUUUAAGACUGCCGAGCUAGUAGGUGAGAGAGGUAAGUGGAAUUCCGAGUGUAGAGGUGAAAUUCGUAGAUAUUCGGAAGAACACCAGUGGCGAAGGCGGCUUACUGGCUCAUUCUAGACGCUGAGGUGCGAAAGCGUGGGGAGCAAACAGGAUUAGAUACCCGGGUAGUCCCUGUCUCUUAUAC